GCCGGGCGUGGUGCCGCACGCCUGUAAUCCCAGCUACUCAGGAGGCUGAGGCGGGAGAAUCUCUUGAACCCAGGAAGCGGAGGUUGCAGUGAGCUGAGAUCAUGCCACCGCACUCCAGCCUGGGCGACAGAGUGAGCCUCCGUCUCAA
ensembl:misc_RNA Metazoa_SRP Metazoan signal recognition particle RNA